rnacentral:lncRNA from 1 species
CUGGGGGAAUUUUGUAAAAAAGCUUGAUUUAUUAGGUUUUCAGAGCAAAAGUCCGGUUAUUUUUGGGUCCCCCCUCAUAUGUUAGCAGACUUAACCGGUGUCUCCAUAGCAUCAAUCUUCAGAAUAAGGAGGGAAGUGAAGACAACAGGCAAAGUGUUAACGCUGAAGCAACCACAAAGUCGAGUUGAAAUAACUGAUCAUUUAACUAAGUAUGAUGCUUUUACUAAAUUGGCAAUCCAUAGAAAGCUAUAUGAAUUAAGAAAAAUGAUGUUUAUACUGCAUAAUUGCUAAAUACGUUAAUAAACUGUAGAAUAACAGACAACACUUGAUGCAGUUGUGGGAUAC